UUUCUCUCUUGUAAGUUAUUUAUUUGUUUCCAUUAUUUAUUUAUUUUUUUUUCAAGUUAGUGCGAGUACAUACAGAAGCAAAAGCACACAAGUAUAUUCCUGCUUUCUCUCUCUCUCUCUCUCUCUCUCUCUCUCUCUCUCUCUCUCUCUCUCUCUCUCUCUCUCUCUCUCUCUCUCUCUCUCUCUCUCUCUCUCUCUCUCUCUCUCUCUCUCUCUCUCUCUCUCUCUCUCUCUCUCUCUCUCUCUCUCUCUCUCUCUCUCUCUCUCACUACUAAGUCCCUUCGCCUCCCUCCCGCAAUUCCUGAGCUGAGAUUGAUUGUUGACUCAUUCCUUGCUCUCCUUCGCUCGCCUUGCUUUUUUUUUCUUUGCUAACUUUUCUGUCUUGUUUUAUUCCAUUUCAAUCCCCUGCCUCGUUCAUUUCCUGUACUCCUCAAUGACUCGUCCUGUUCCUCCGCAUCUCCAUCUCUCCAUCUCUCAUUUUCUUUCUUCCACUGUUAUUUUUCCACGUAGUUUUUUUUUUUUUUUUUUUAACCUGCCAUUCUCUUGUCUCUUGCUCCUUUUUUUGCUGCUGCUGCUGAUGGUGGUGGUAGUGGUGGUGGUAGUGGUCUUCCUCCUCCUCCUCUUCUUCUUCCUUCUCCUCUUCCUCCUCCUCCUCCUCCUCCAUUUCUUUGUUCCCUUUAUUCCGUCUCGGCUUCUUAAGGGAAGGAAAAAAAUGUACUGAAGCUCAAACGUGAAGGAGAAAGAACCACGUUGGUCCCUUGGUGCCCUGACGACCCUGAUGGGAUUUGACGGGACCUGAAGAGAGGGUCGGGAGGCGAAGGGAAGGCGGAGGCUGGAGGGAAGGUGGGGAAGGUAAGGGGAGGUAAGGGGAGUGUGGGAAGGCAUCGUAAUAAGAGAUAUGGUAGAAAGGGAAGGUGAGAACAACGCAUUACUGGGAGGUUGUGGGUGUGUGGGUGUGUGUGGAUGUGGAUGGGUAGGUGGGUGCAGAUAGGCGUGUUGGUUGGUAAGGUGUUUGGUGUAAGGUAGGUAGGUGAGUAGAUGGUUAUGGUGAGUUUGUACAAGCUAGGUUAGUUAGUAAAUGCAGUCUGCUUUCGUAGAUGGAUAGAUAGAUAGAUUAAUUACAUCGAUUUAUAGAUUGGUAGAUAUAGAUUGCUAAGGAGAUAGAUUUUGUUUUUUUUUUACAGUGCUUUUUUUAUCUGGUUUAUCUAAACAUAUAUUUUACGCUUGGAUAAAUGCACAUGGUAAGGGAUGUAAUGUUAAAGAAUAGAUAGGUAGGUGCAGGAACAGGUGAACUUCCUUCUCUUACUCGUUCCUGUACUUAUCUUACCUUGGUAGAGGAGUAUUCGCUUUUCCAGGACGAUGAUGAAUUAAUUGAUUGAUUGAAUGAUUGAUCGACUGACUCACUCACUCACUGACUGACUGACUGACUGACUGACUACCCAUACAACAUUCCGGAAUUAUAAGUGCCGAAAGAAGGAGUACAUAAUUAAAGCAAGACAUUGAUAAAUGAACUGACGAAUUGAGUGAGUGAGUGAAAAAGUGAGUGAGUAAUAAUACCUUGACAGAGUACGAUGAACUUUUACAGGACUGAUAAAUUCCCAGGAUUAUUGAACCGAGUGAAUGAUUGGCUGUCUGAUCGAUAACUGACGGCCGAUAUUGACUAAUUGUCUGUCGCUCCAAUAUUUAGGAUAAUAAAGACAGCAGACUGAAAAAAAAAAUGUUUCGAUGAAUACACCUCACUUUACACACACACACACACACACACACACGCGCGCGCGCGAGAUGCAACGAACUAGAAUCUCCAGGCAGGCGGAAACCAUUUGGGCUUGCCUCCUUUCACGCACUAAUCCCUGCUCGCCUUGUUGAGAAUAGGUACGAAUUUAUGAGCAACUCUGCCGACCCCUUGUAGUCCAGCCGGCUCGUUCUUUCCUUCUGUAUUUACGUAUCUGUAUUUUCCUCGCCCUGUUCCGGAUCUAAAGGUAAUCUCUCGGUGCUUUGUCUGUACUCAGUUUUAUCCAAUGUAUUUGUUUUAAAGGGACUGGUUGGUGUAUCAUCAGUCUGAUGAUAAUUUGAAUAUAAAUUAUUCUAUUUAUUUGUUUAUUUCUAAAUUAGUUUGUGUUUCAGUGUAUUUAUGUAGACGAGGAUUAAGCUCUGUACAAGGUGCGCAAGCCGCACGUCUUUGUGACGUGGCAGUGGGGAGGUGAGGUGGCGACGAACGGUCAGCCAGGGUUAGUUGCUGUCCGCCCCUACCUGAAGUGUGUUGUGAUGGAUCACUGGAUGUAAUAUUUAUUCAAGACUUGGGAUUAUUGUAUUAUGCUGUUUAUGAAUCCAACUACUGGUUCGGAAAGUUCAUGGAGGCAAUCCAUAUGCGGCUGGAGCUACCGUUGUAAGCCGAGGGUCAUUAUCCACUCAUCUACCUGUACAUUAGCGGCGCCAGCACGACGAGACAGCCUCCUCUUGUCCUUCAGGUGUGGGAGUGAAGGAAAUGAGUGAAGGAGGUAAAAAGCGAAGAUGAAUAGGAAUAGACAGAUGAAAAUAUUCUCUUAUGGAUUCUCUCUAUUUUUGAGCGUGGCGUG